AUUUGAUGAUAGGGGUAGCUUACACACAAUUUCUUAAAUCUCUCCCAAUACUCAUACAAGUUCUCUCCAUUAUACGGUCGAAUCCCACAAAUUUCUUUUCUUAUAUU